rnacentral:lncRNA from 1 species
CAUGAUACCUUUUAAAUGGCUAUGUGCCCUGGGUGUCUAGAGGCCUGCUGAUACCCUGCUCUGAGAGUACUGCCAGCAGUUUGGAUUUGUGGAGAUAUCAGAGUGGUAUCAAAGUGAUGCCCCUCUUUUCCUCCUUAUAAUGUACUUUUUUAAAUUAUAAAAGAAUUAGAUGCUCAUUGCUGAAAGUCUAAUGAUAUGGAAAAGUAAAAAAAAACAUUAAACCCCAUCUCAUUCCCUUGAGGUAAUCCAUAUUAUUUUUCCUCUGCUGAAAAACAUGUGUAUCAUAUGAAGUUUUUUUUUUUAAUCUAUAUCUUAGAAAUAGGUAAUGUUAUAUAAUCACAUUUUUUCCCUCUUAAAUUAUGGUCCUCCUUCCACAUCAUCCUUCCUCAUCAAUUCUGACCUAUUUUUAGUUUU